CCUACGGGCGGCAGCAGUGGGGAAUAUUUGGCAAUGGGCGCAAGCCUGACCCAGCAACGCCGCGUGAGGGAAUAAGGCUCUCGGGUUGUAAACUCCUUUUCAUAUGGGCGAAGCAAGUGACGGUAGUUGAGGAAUAAGCCACGGCUAACUACGCGCCAGCAGCCGCCGCAAUACGAAGGGGGCAUGCGUUAUUCGGAUUUAUUGGGUGUAAUGGGGGUGUAGGAGGUAGUGGAAGUCAUAUGGGAAAACCACGGGCUCAACCCGCGGCCUGCAUUUGAAACUGUGGUUCUUGAGUAAUGGAGAGGGAACCGGAAUUCGCGGUGUAGCGGUGAAAUGCGUAGAUAAU
rnacentral:rRNA from 1 species